AGGAGGCAGCAGUGAGGAAUUGUUCGCAAUGGGCGCAAGCCUGACGACGCAACGCCGCGUGGAGGAUGAAGAUCUUCGGGUCGUAAACUCCUUUCGAUCGAGACGAAUUCCUUCCGGGUGAACAAUCCGGGAGGUUGACGGUACCGAGAGAAGAAGCCCCGGCUAACUCCGUGCCAGCAGCCGCGGUAAUACGGGGGGGGCAAGCGUUGUUCUGAAUUACUGGGCGUAAAGGGCUCGUAGGCGGCCAACUAAGUCGGACGUGAAAUCCCUCGGCUUAACCGGGGAACUGCGUCCGAUACUGGAUGGCUUGAGUUCGGGAGAGGGAUGCGGAAUUCCAGGUGUAGCGGUGAAAUGCGUAGAUAUCUGGAGGAACACCGGUGGCGAAGGCGGCAUCCUGGACCGACACUGACGCUGAGGAGCGAAAGCCAGGGGAGCAAACGGGAUUAGAUACCCCUGUAGUCCA
rnacentral:rRNA from 1 species